rnacentral:lncRNA from 1 species
UUCCCCCCACCGUUCUGCUUCUUCUUCAACCAGAUGACUAGGACCCCAGCUUCAUCUUCUUCACGGCUUAGACACAAAAAAAAAAACCUAGAAAUCCAACGACCACUCCUUGAACCAGAUCCGCCUUUUCCCUCUCUCAUCUCUCUCUCAUGGUCAAAACCCUACAAAUAGUAGAAUAACUCGACGGAGAAAUCGAGCGAACUAAUAGUCCAUAGACAUCUCCAGAUCCUCGUCACCACUCCCAUUUCUUCACCUCCAUCGCCGCCAGACCUCUACCAGUGGCUAGAACAGCAGCGCUGGAUAGCCG